UGUAAGCGUAUACCAAGGUUGUUGCAGUUAAAACGCUCGUAGUCGGAAUUUGGCAGUUCCGGAUGUGUGCACGUCGUGUGCGCACUUCGCGGGGAUUGCUUUUGUGGUCUUGCGUAGGAUGAGGCACUUUUAUUAGUGAACGUCCUCACGCAACCACUUUUUACUGUGAGAAAAUCAGAGUGCUCAAAGCAGGCAUUUGCCGUGAAUGUAUUAGCAUGGAAUAAUAGAAUAGGACUUGGUUCUAUUUUGUUGGUUUGUUGGGACUGAGUAAUGAUUAAGAGGGACAGUUGGGGGCAUUUGUAUUUCGGUGCUAGAGGUGAAAUUCUUAGAUUACCGAAAGACAAACUGCUGCGAAAGCGUCUGCCAAGGAUGUUUUCAUUGA
rnacentral:rRNA from 1 species